UCGGCUCUAGCUCAGUUGGUAGAGCAGAGGACUGUAGUUUGAUUAAUCUAAAUUGGAAAUCCUUAGGUUGGUGGUUCGAAUCCGGCAAGUCGGA
rnacentral:tRNA from 1 species